rnacentral:rRNA from 1 species
CGUAGGCGGCUUAAUAAGUCAGUGGUGAAAUCCCUACGCUUAACGUAGGAACGGCCAUUGAUACUGUUAGGCUUGAAUUAUUAGGAAGUAACUAGAAUAUGUAGUGUAGCGGUGAAACGCUUAGAGAUUACAUGGAAUACCAAUUGCGAAGGCAGGUUACUACUAAUUGAUUGACGCUGAUGGACGAAAGCGUGGGUAGCGAACAGGAUUAGAUACCCUGGUAGUCCACGCCGUAAACGAUGGAUACUAGCUGUUGGGAGCAAUCUCAGUGGCUAAGCGAAAGUGAUAAGUAUCCCACCUGGGGAGUACGUUCGCAAGAAUGAAACUCAAAGGAAUUGACGGGGGCCCGCACAAGCGGUGGAGCAUGUGGUUUAAUUCGAUGAUACGCGAGGAACCUUACCAAGGCUUAAAUGUAGAUUGACCGAUUUGGAAACAGAUUUUUCGCAAGACAAUUUACAAGGUGCUGCAUGGUUGUCGUCAGCUCGUGCCGUGAGGUGUCAGGUUAAGUCCUAUAACGAGCGCAACCCCUGUUGUUAGUUGCCAGCGAGUCAAGUCGGGAACUCUAACAAGACUGCCAGUGCAAACUGUGAGGAAGGUGGGGAUGACGUCAAAUCAUCACGGCCCUUACGCCUUGGGCUACACACGUGCUACAAUGGACGGUACAGAGA